rnacentral:misc_RNA from 1 species
GAAAUGCGAUAAGUAGUGUGAAUUGCAGAAUUUAGCGAAUCAUCGAAUCUUUGAACGCACAUUGUGCCCCUUGGUAUUCCAUGGGGCAUGCCUGUUCGAGCGUCAUUUCAACCCUCAAGCACUGCUUGGUGUUGGGCGUUUGUCCCGCCUACGCGCGUGGACUCGCCUCAAAGUCAUUGGCAGCUGUUCCCCUUCGGCUCGUAAGCGCAGCACAGUCGGCGCCCGGAGCUCUGGUGGGAUGUCGUCCAGCAAGCUAUAUUUUCAGGCUUGACCUCGGAUCAGGUAGGGAUACCCGCUGAACUUAAGC